CGGAGGGGCUAGCGUUGUUCGGAAUUACUGGGGCGUAAAAGCGCACGUAGGCGGACCAGAAAGUUGGGGGUGAAAGUACCCGGGGCGUCAACCUCGGAACUGCCUUCAAAACUAUGGUCUGGAGUUCGAGAGAGGUGAGUGGAAUUCCGAGUGUAGAGGUGAAAUUCGUAGAUAUUCGGAGGAACACCAGUGGCGAAGGCGGCUCACUGGCUCGAUACUGACGCUGAGGUGCGAAAGCGUGGGGAGCAAACAGGAUU
rnacentral:rRNA from 1 species